AUGCAAGUCGAACGAGAUCUUCGGAUCUAGUGGCGCACGGGUGCGUAACGCGUGGGAAUCUGCCCUUGGGUUCGGAAUAACAGUUAGAAAUGACUGCUAAUACCGGAUGAUGACGUUAAGUCCAAAGAUUUAUCGCCCGAGGAUGAGCCCGCGUAGGAUUAGCUAGUUGGUGUGGUAAGAGCGCACCAAGGCGACGAUCCUUAGCUGGUCUGAGAGGAUGAUCAGCCACACUGGGACUGAGACACGGCCCAGACUCC
rnacentral:rRNA from 2 species